UUUUUUUUUAUUUUUUGGAUAAAGGGUGAAGGGUCAAGAAUUGUGAUCAUGUGUGGGUUUAGAAAAAACAUAAAUUCCAGAGAUGAGGCUUGACUUCUUAUUUAAAUAUAAAGUUUACUAGACAAAAUACAUCAUGCUGGAUGACAAAGCUAGUAGGAAAGAUGGGAGUGGAAUUUGUUAAUAGUGUCUGACCUAUCAGUCCUUUCUAAAAUUGGAUUCCAAAUACUUAAAAAUAUCGAAUUGCCUUGUUUAAAACCUUAAAUUCAGUUAGGCUCUGAACUUUAAUAAGAUCUAAAGAUAGAAUUUUUUAUUGUAUCAUGACAUAAUUUGGAUAAAUCCAUUAUUUCAAAACUUGUUUGACCCUUGCAUCUUGAGCCUGAGGUAUUGUUUUCAUCGAAACCCUCGAACCUUAUGCCUUACGUACCAAAGCUAAGCUUAGGCAGCUAAGGUGCAUGGUCAUUUGUUGUGCCUUCUUUGGGUUUUUUAUUAUUGGCCUAAACUUUUUUAGUUAUUAUUUAUAAAGCAUACAAUAUUUUACGCAGAGUGGAGAGAGAAAGCACCAUUACAAAUGGAGAACAACAAUAUUAUAUGUUCAUUUGUAAGUUAAACUUUUACUUGGCGUUACUAAGAUGGCUUAAGAUCUGUUAUGAACCCCUUUUUUUUUUUUUUUGUAUUUUUAUAUUAUUUAUUAGUUUCUCUUGAGGUUUAUGCCUCGAGGUUUACAUUUUGCUCAUAGAGGUAAAACAUAUUGGUAUUUGAUAGAACCUUUUCAAACAUUGAACAAAUAUUAUAAAUUAAGAUUCAAAAAACAUAAUUUUGUGCAUAUAUUGAAUGAAAAUUGCAAAAAAAAUAAAUAAAUAAAUAAAAGAAAAUACCAAGAGCAGCAUCUAAAUAAAGAAUGUCUAAAGCAACGACAAAAUUAAAAACUUGUCCAAUUCAUUUCCCCUAAACCUUAAUGUGGCUAUGAAAAUUAGCAUCACUACGGAUCUAUCGAUCAUUGAAAUUUAUGCAGAC
rnacentral:lncRNA from 1 species